rnacentral:tRNA from 1 species
GCUGAAGUAGCUCAGCUGGGAGAGCGUUAGACUGAAGAUCUAAAGGUCCCUGGUUCAAACCCGGGCAUCAGCA